rnacentral:misc_RNA from 1 species
UCCGGGUUGGACCCGGCGGUCCCGCCAGACAUGGUAACUGGCAGCGAGGGUUGCGCUCGUUGCGGGACUUAACCCAACACCUCACGGCACGAGCUGACGACAGCCAUGCAGCAUCUAUGCGUGCUCCCUUGCGGGUCCUCAGUCUUUCGACCUCGUACCACACGCAUGUCAAGCCCAGGUAAGGUUCUUCGCGUUGCGUCGAAUUAAACCACAUGCUCCACCGCUUGUGCGGGCCCCCGUCAAUUCCUUUGAGUUUCAGUCUUGCGACCGUACUCCCCAGGCGGAGUGCUUAAUGUGUUGACGUCGGCACAGCAGGGGUCGAUACCCCCGACACCUAGUACUCAUCGUUUACAGCGUGGACUAC